rnacentral:rRNA from 1 species
CGCGGCCUAUCAGCUUGUUGGUGAGGUAAUGGCUCACCAAGGCUUCGACGGGUAGCCGGCCUGAGAGGGCGACCGGCCACAUUGGGACUGAGACACGGCCCAAACUCCUACGGGAGGCAGCAGUGGGGAAUAUUGCACAAUGGGCGAAAGCCUGAUGCAGCAACGCCGCGUGCGGGAUGACGGCCUUCGGGUUGUAAACCGCUUUCAUCCAUGACGAAGCUUUUUGUGACGGUAGUGGAAGAAGAAGCACCGGCUAACUACGUGCCAGCAGCCGCGGUGAUACGUAGGGUGCGAGCGUUGUCCGGAUUUAUUGGGCGUAAAGAGCUUGUAGGCGGUUUGUUGCGUCGGUAGUGAAAACUCAGGGCUUAACCCUGAGCCUGCUUCCGAUACGGGCAGACUUGAGGAAGGUAGGGGAGAAUGGAAUUCCUGGUGGAGCGGUGGAAUGCGCAGAUAUCAGGAGGAACACCAGUGGCGAAGGCGGUUCUCUGGGCCUUUCCUGACGCUGAGAAGCGAAAGCGUGGGGAGCAAACAGGAUUAGAUACCCUGGUAGUCCACGCCGUAAACGGUGGGUACUAGGUGUGGGGGACAUUCCACGUUCUCCGUGCCGCAGCUAACGCAUUAAGUACCCCGCCUGGGG